GAUGAACGCUAGCUACAGGCUUAACACAUGCAAGUCGAGGGGCAGCGCGGUGUGGCAAUACAUGGGCGGCGACCGGCGCACGGGUGCGUAACGCGUAUCCAACCUUCCCGUUACUCUUGGAUAGCCUUCCGAAAUGGAGAUUAAUACACGAUGGUAUUCAAAUACCGCAUGUUACUUGAAUUAAAGAUUUAUCGGUAACGGAUGGGGAUGCGUGACAUUAGAUAGUAGGUGGGGUAACGGCCCACCUAGUCUACGAUGUCUAGGGGUUCUGAGAGGAAGGUCCCCCACACUGGAACUGAGACACGGUCCAGACCCCUACGGGAGGCAGCAGUGAGGAAUAUUGGUCAAUGGUCGGAAGACUGAACCAGCCAAGUAGCGUGAAGGAUGAAGGUUCUAUGGAUUGUAAACUUCUUUUAUACGGGAAUAAAACACCUUACGUGUAGGGUCUUGUAUGUACCGUAUGAAUAAGCAUCGGCUAACUCCGUGCCAGCAGCCGCGGUAACAC
rnacentral:rRNA from 1 species